rnacentral:piRNA from 1 species
UUAAGUUAAAAUGAGGUGAUUAGGGU